UACGUAGGGAGCAAGCGUUGUCCGGAAUCAUUGGGCGUAAAGCGCGCGUAGGUGGCCUCAUAAGUCCGCUGUGAAAGUCAAAGGCUCAACCUUUGAAAGCCGGUGGAUACUGUGAGGCUAGAGUACGGAAGAGGAGUGUGGAAUUCCUGGUGUAGCGGUGAAAUGCGCAGAUAUCAGGAGGAACACCAAUGGCGAAGGCAGCACUCUGGGACGUGACUGACGCUGAGACGCGAAAGCGUGGGGAGCAAACAGG
rnacentral:rRNA from 1 species